rnacentral:lncRNA from 1 species
CAUGUGUUAUAGUAACCCAACUAUGGUAAAUAUGUAUACAUAUUAUCGUAAAUUAGUAUAUAAAAUUAUCGUAAAUGGAGGUAGAUACAAAAUAACAUAUUUUGUAGCUAGCUACAGAGUAAGGAUUGAGCUGCCUCCGCGUGUCUCUGACUCCAUCUAUCUGUCCACUCCACAUGCCUCUACGUGCUUUUAGUUCAUAUAUAUGGAUUCCUAAACUCUAGUUUGCUUAUCUUUAGUUCUAGUUCGAUACAAACAUACAUGGGUAUAAAUAUAGCUCAUAGGCCAAUUCUAGAUCUCCCUGGAGCCAUUCCCAUUCCACCUGCAAGUCUUAUCCAUCCCAAGAGCUGUGAGAUUGAUAAAUAGUUGCAUUGGGUUUCAGGCAAGAUAAUAUCAGAUGGCAGCAAAUGCAUUGUAGGCCAGGAGCGGAGCUCAACGGGCACUUCUGUUCGCUUGUCUUAUAAGCUAUACAUUUUCUGUCAGCCAGCAGUGUUUUCUCUAACAAUAAAUCAGCGAUAGUAUUUUUAGCCAUGACUUUUCAGACAAGCGAAUAGGCAUGGGAGGCGUCAGGACUUGAAAUCUACCUCGGUGUUGCAGUUCUAAUGAGAUGAUCGAGCAAGUGAUGACGCAUUCUAUCAGGCAUUUUGCUCCCUAACACUAAUUCAUUUUUUUCGUGUGGUUAGAGGUCAAAUGAUGAGUUCAGUUUCUUUAGCAGCCAUGCGUUAGAAUGUUUUACUUUUUCAUGGAUCAUGUUGAAUAUAAAUUUGACAAUUACAGUAAUAAGUGUAUUUUGCCAGC